UUAACUCAAAUUUGUAUUGAGUUGGAAUGUUUACCUACGUUUGCCGCUAGGGGCGCUGUUCCAACUGCAUACAAUAUUAAAUA
rnacentral:pre_miRNA from 1 species